rnacentral:rRNA from 1 species
CUGUGAUGAUAAUGACAGUAGCAGGUAAAGAAACCCCGGCUAACACCGUGCCCGCAGCCGCGGUAAUACGGAGGGGGUUAGCGUGUUUCGGAAUUACUGGGCGUAAAGCGCGCGUAGGCGGAUUAGAAAGUUGGGGGUGAAAUCCCGGGUCUCAACCCCGGAACNGCCUCCAAANNUNNUAGUCUAGAGUUCGAGAGAGGNGAGUGGAAUUCCGAGUGUNGAGGUGAAAUUCGUAGAUAUUCGGAGGAACACCAGUGGNGAAGGCGGCUCACNGGNUCGAUNCUGNCGNUGAGGUGCGAAAGUGUGGGGAGCAAACAGGAUUAGAUACCCUGGUAGUCCNCACCGUAAACGAUGAAUNCCAGUCGUCGGAUAGUAUAAUAUUCGGUGACACACCUAACGCAUUAAGCAUUCCGCCUGGGGAGUACGGUCGCAAGAUUAAAACUCAAAGGAAUG